rnacentral:rRNA from 1 species
AUUGAACGCUGGCGGCAGGCCUAACACAUGCAAGUCGACCGAGCGGCGGACGGGUGAGUAAUGUCUGGGCAACUGCCUGAUGGAGGGGGAUAACUACUGGAAACGGUAGCUACUACCGCAUACCAUCCGCUGUGCCCAGAUGGGAUUAGCUAGUUGGUGGGGUAAUGGAUCACCUAGGCGACGAUCCCUAGCUGGUCUGAGAGGAUGACCAGCCACACUGGAACUGAGACAAAGUCCAAACUCCUACGGGAGGCAGCAGUGGGGAGUAUUGCACAAUGGGCGCGAGCCUGAUGCAGCCAUGCCGCGUGUGUGAAGAAGGCCUUCGGGUUGUAAAGCACUUUCAGCGAGGAGGCGUUACUCGCAGAAGAAGCACCGGCUAACUCCGUGCCAGCAGCCGCGGUAAUUC